rnacentral:rRNA from 1 species
GAUGAACGCUGGCGGCGUGCUUAACACAUGCAAGUCGAACGAUGAAGCCCAGCUUGCUGGGUGGAUUAGUGGCGAACGGGUGAGUAACACGUGAGUAACCUGCCCUUAACUCUGGGAUAAGCCUGGGAAACUGGGUCUAAUACCGGAUAGGAGCGCCUACCGCAUGGUGGGUGUUGGAAAGAUUUAUCGGUUUUGGAUGGACUCGCGGCCUAUCAGCUUGUUGGUGAGGUAAUGGCUCACCAAGGCGACGACGGGUAGCCGGCCUGAGAGGGUGACCGGCCACCCUGGGACUGAGACACGGCACAGACUCCUACGGUAGGCAGCAGUGGGGAAUAUUGCACAAUGGGCGAAAGCCUGAUGCAGCGACGCCGCGUGAGGGAUGACGGCCUUCGGGUUGUAAACCUCUUUCAGUAGGGAAGAAGCGAAAGUGACGGUACCUGCAGAAGAAGCACCGGCUAACUACGUG